ensembl:lncRNA
CUGACAUUGGGUGAACAAACUAUUGCAGCCAGGCGGUUAAUGUGUUUUUUUUUCUGCUUCUUUGUGGCUGUUGUUUAGUGAUUUCCUGCCCUAUUUCUCCUUGAUGAGAUGCGUGGGAGUUUUUAAAAGGACGCCACAGCCAAAGAAAAAGACCCUCUCAAGAAUUUCCCAAACAGCACUUUGAACAGCAGGCCGCCCCUAUCAACGACUUUGGGCCCCACAAACCACCAGAAAGCAGGGUACAACAUGGGCACUACGCCAAAUGAAUUCCAAUUUACUGAUACCAACCAAACCACCAUCGUGUGUGGCUGCGUGCGCGACAAAAUUUUGGUCACCCCCGACAAAAUCUCACUCCAAGGUUUUUCGAAAAGUUGGCAGCUCUGCCCCUACAGAAUCCUAUAUAACCCCUUUUAUAAGCUUUAAAAGAGGAGAACUUCAUCACUGUGUUAUCAUCUCUUAUGCGGUUGAGUUCUGUUUUUUGGGGCAAUGCUGCCAUAAGCACAACGAGCCGUAGCCAUGGAACCAUUAGCUACAUUAGCUACAUUAGCUAGCCACUUCUGCACUGCGUGGAUACUCGUGUGAGCUAAAGUAAACAGCUGGCUAAGCAAACACACCUCAUAAAUGUAUGUAUUGUGUAUUUUGUCCACUAGCAACAUUAAGAGGUUGGGAUAAAAUUAUGAAAUGUAGAGAAAGACUGACGGAAAAGUAAAGAGAAAAGUGAGGCUUGGUAUUUACCCUCUCAAUCAUUUUGUCUGCAGCAUUUCCAAUA